UGGGGAAUAUUGCACAAUGGGCGCAAGCCUGAUGCAGCCAUGCCGCGUGUGUGAAGAAGGCCUUCGGGUUGUAAAGCACUUUCAGCGGGGAGGAAGGCGUUAAGGUUAAUAACCUUGGCGAUUGACGUUACCCGCAGAAGAAGCACCGGCUAACUCCGUGCCAGCAGCCGCGGUAAUACGGAGGGUGCAAGCGUUAAUCGGAAUUACUGGGCGUAAAGCGCACGCAGGCGGUCUGUCAAGUCGGAUGUGAAAUCCCCGGGCUCAACCUGGGAAAUGCAUACGAAACUGGCAAGCUAGAGUCUAGUAGAGGGGGGUAGAAUUCCAGGGGUAGCGGUGAAAUGCGUAGAGAUCUGGAGGAAUACCGGUGGCGAAGGCGGCCCCCUGGACAAAGACGGACGCUCAGGUGCGAAAGCGUGGGGAGCAAACAGG
rnacentral:rRNA from 1 species